rnacentral:rRNA from 1 species
CCUACGGGUGGCAGCAGUGGGGAAUAUUGGGCAAUGGGCGCAAGCCUGACCCAGCAACGCCGCGUGCAGGAAGAAGGCUUUCGGGUUGUAAACUUCUUUUCUCAGGGACGAAACAAGUGACGGUACCUGAGGAAUCAGCCCCGCCUAACUACGUUCCAGCAGCCGCGGUAAUACGUAGGUGGCAAGCGUUAUCCGGAUUUACUGGGUGUAAAGGUCGUGUAGGCGGGACUGCAAGUCAGAUGUGAAAACCACGGGCUCAACCUGUGGCCUGCAUGUGAAAUUGUAGUUCUUGAGUACUGGAGAGGCAGACGGAAUUCCUAGUGUAGCGGUGAAAUGCGUAGAUAUUAGGAGGAACACCAGUGGCGAAGGCGGUCUGCUGGACAGCAACUGACGCUGAGGCGCGAAAGCGUGGGGAGCAAACAGGAUUAGAUACCCUUGUAGUC